rnacentral:tRNA from 1 species
GGGGAGAUGGCCGAGUGGUCAAUGGCAGCAGACUGUAAAUCUGCCGGCGUACGCCUACGGAGGUUCAAAUCCUUCUCUCCCCA